UGACAAAAUAACCAUAUUUCUAAGAUAACUAGUCACCACAAUGAGUUCAUGUGACAAUGUAGCAUUCUAUUGUUUGAAAGAGUUGCAUACUGUUUUUUGUGCAAUUCCAUAAAGAAUAGCAUGCAGUGUGAAGUACAUACUGUGCAGCAAGCAGUAUGUUAGGAUUGUAUUCUGAGCCUUUGUGUGUGCUCACACAAGUUCAAAUAUCUCCCCCUCCUAAUGUGAAAGUCCUUGUGUCCUCUCCACAGAUCCGUGAAGAGCUCUCUGCUCCAUCUUCAGCUGCCUGAGACGUGAACCCCAGAAAGACUCUUAAUGAAUCAGUUUUCGCCGCUCGAUGCCAUGGCGUUCAACCGGUGGCUUUUAUAAUUCUCUCUGAAGGACGGAUCUUCAGGUCUAGUCGAGCGUCGUGGGAGAGUUACAGAGGAAACAUCACGCUGCCGAAGAUCCCCGAGUCUAACAUGGCUCUGAGCGUGUUAGGCGUGUUUCUGGGAUUGCUUCUGGAAGUUUCCACACACGGACCCUCCAGCGUUCCCAGAAGCUCAUGGAGGCACGACGGUGAGUGAAGGGUUAAAGUUUUACAUCAAAAAAUGUAAUGGGUGUGAAGCACGUG
rnacentral:lncRNA from 1 species